rnacentral:tRNA from 2 species
GGGCGUAUAGCUCAGCUGGUUAGAGUGCAUCGUUGACAUCGAUGAGGUCGCCCGUUCGAGCCGGGCUACGCCCA